AUUCAGAUACUUACAAACUGUGUGACCCUGGUCAAAUCAUUUGACCCUGCUUGCCUCAGUUUCCUCAUCUAUAAAAUGAGCUGGGGAAAGAAAUGGCAAAUCACUGCAGUAUCUUUGCCCAAAUGACAUCACAAAGAGUCAGACAGGACUGAAACAACUGAGCAACAAUAUAUUAUAUACAAGUAAAUUUAAGUUAUGUAGAAAGAAAUACUAGCAGUUGGGAAGGGGGCCAUGAAAGUUUCCAAGAAAAUCUCUCAUGUAGGAGGAAGCACUAAGUUGAGUUUUGAAAGAACCUAGAGAUUCUAAGAGGUUUUGGUGAGGAGGGAAUGCCUUACAGCCAUGGUGGCUGUACAAAGAUAUUAGAGAGAAGGAUAAGAUGGGGUAAUGGGCAUCAAGUUCAGCUAAAGGACAAAAGAAACAAAAGGUGAUUUUUGGAAGGUGUCUGUGGGAAGCAUGGAGGAACUCAGAGAGAACAAGCUGGUUUUGACCCUUCGAAUCAUAGAGGUGGAAGGAAUCCAAGAAGUCAUCUAGACAAACCCCUAUACAGAUCAUGAAUCCAGUCUAUUGGCACACUCAUUCAGCCUCUGAUGAGAAGAUCUAAAUCACAUGUGUGGUCACAUAAUUGUCAAGUAGGGACACAAUAUUCAAACUCAAGCUUUCUCAAUUCCACAUCUUAUGGCUACUUCUUAAACUACCUUCUCUAUUAAAAAAAAAAACAACAAAACCACCAUGAAGGGACUGCUCUUGUCAGCCUUUGUUAAUGAGUGAUAAUGACCUCUGGAACACAUCACCAUGCAACAUCCAUUUAGAAGCUGAAACCAAAGGAUGCUCAUCAUUUUCCCAUAUUUGUGUCUAAUCAGAAUUGCAUGUUCAUGUUGAUGGUGUGAUCAUUUUUUUUCAUAUUCCCACAAUAUGACAUAGACCUUUAAGAAUUGGAAAAAAGUAGAAGCAAAUGACUACCUCAUACAAGCAAUGGACCUCCAGUUAAAGAUUUUUGCAUAGGAGGAUGUGAACCUAGAAAAUGAUCUUUGAGAAUUCAUCUUACGACCCUUAACUUUUAUGUGAUUCUAUAAAGCAUCACUAUCCUUCAGGUCAAUGAGGAUUUAUA